ACUACGGGAGGCAGCAGUGGGGGAUAUUGCACAAUGGGGGAAACCCUGAUGCAGCGACGCCGCGUGUGGGAAGACGGUCCUCUGGAUUGUAAACCACUGUCCCCAGGGACGAAGAUGACGGUACCUGGGGAGGAAGCUCCGGCUAACUACGUGCCAGCAGCCGCGGUAAUACGUAGGGAGCGAGCGUUGUCCGGAAGUACUGGGUGUAAAGGGAGCGUAGGCGGGACUGCAAGUUGGGUGUCAAAUCUACCGGCUCAACCGGUAGCCGCACUCAAAACUGCAGUUCUUGAGUGAAGUAGAGGCAGGCGGAAUUCCUAGUGUAGCGGUGAAAUGCGUAGAUAUUAGGAGGAACACCAGUGGCGAAGGCGGCCUGCUGGGCUUUUACUGACGCUGAGGCUCGAAAGUGUGGGGAGCAAACAGGAUUAGAUACCCUUGUAGUC
rnacentral:rRNA from 1 species